GCCCAGACUCCUACGGGAGGCAGCAGUGGGGGAUAUUGGACAAUGGGGGAAACCCUGAUCCAGCGACGCCGCGUGAGUGAAGAAGUAUUUCGGUAUGUAAGGCUCUGUCAGCAGGGAAGAAAGAAAUGACGGUACCUGACCAAGAAGCCCCGGCUAACUACGUGCCAGCAGCCGCGGUAAUACGUAGGGGGCAAGCGUUAUCCGGAUUUACUGGGUGUAAAGGGAGCGUAGACGGAUAAGCAAGUCUGAUGUGAAAAUCCGGGGCGCAACCCCGGAAUUGCAUUGGAAACUGCAUAUCUAGAGUGUCGGAGAGGCAAGUGGAAUUCCUGGUGUAGCGGUGAAAUGCGUAGAUAUCAGGAGGAACACCAGUGGCGAAGGCGGCUUGCUGGACGAUGACUGACGUUGAGGCUCGAAUGCGUGGGGAGCAAACAGGAUUAGAUACCCUCGUACC
rnacentral:rRNA from 1 species